rnacentral:rRNA from 1 species
GACGAACGCUGGCGGCGUGCUUAACACAUGCAAGUCGAGCGGUAAGGCCCUUUCGGGGGUACACGAGCGGCGAACGGGUGAGUAACACGUGGGUGACCUGCCCUCAGCUCUGGGAUAAGCCUGGGAAACCGGGUCUAAUACUGGAUAUGACUCCAUGACGCAUGUUGUGGGGUGGAAAGCCUUGUGCGGCUGAGGAUGGGCCCGCGGCCUAUCAGCUUGUUGGUGGGGUGANGGCCUACCAAGGCGACGACGGGUAGCCGGCCUGAGAGGGCGACCGGCCACACUGGGACUGAGACACGGCCCAGACUCCUACGGGAGGCAGCAGUGGGGAAUCUUGCGCAAUGGGCGAAAGCCUGACGCAGCGACGCCGCGUGAGGGAUGACGGCCUCGUGG